AGGCUGGGCUGCAGGGCCACCAGGGCCUCGAAGCAUGUGUCAUACAUGUCAUAUCCCAGCGUUAUUCCCGGCAGCAGGGAGCUGGAAUUGUUGAUCUGAUCGAUGGCAAACCUCAUCCCCAGAGCCCAGAUCAGCCCGUCCAUGAAUAACCUGAGGGAAGAGAAGGUGGGAAUUGUGUGGCCUGGCAGUGUUGUCACAAAGGGAUCAGCUCAUCUCACCUUCUUGGACAUCUUGGCAUCCUUGUGGCCGAGCAGGACAUUCCUGGCACUGUCAGUAGAUCAUCCCUGGACCCACUUGUGAGUUUUCUACUCUGAGUGUGAGCACCUUUCCAAUUAAUCCUUUCUGCCAGCAAAUAAAUCCUUGGAGCUUCCCAGGAGAGGGAACAGAGGUAGAGACGAGUUUAGCUGUGAGAGUCAAGACUUUGUGUCCUUCACCCAUGAACCAGCGAUUCCCAGAGUGCUAAUUCAAGGAGAGAGGUGGGAUUUUUCCUGGGAUUUUCCUCCUCUGUGUAUGUCAGCACACUGAGCACAUUCCCUGCCCCAGGGGCUGUGAAGAUGGAAGGAUUUUGGACCCUGCUUUGCUGCUGCCAGAGCAGGAGGAGGGACACCAGCCUGGCCUUUCACUUUCCUCACAAAGAGCUGCAGGAAGAGAAGCAGAUGCAGAGAGCUAAAUACAGGAAUACUUCAGGGAAGCAUCAGUUGCAGCUGUGUUUUCCAGAGCUCUACACACAAACUGACAGAUGUAAAAAAAGAACUGGUCCACAUUUUUCCCUUAUAAAGUGAGGCAUCCUGAAUAGUUUGG